rnacentral:rRNA from 1 species
CCUACGGGUGGCAGCAGUGGGGGAUAUUGCACAAUGGGGGGAACCCUGAUGCAGCGACGCCGCGUGGGUGAAGGAGUAUUUCGGUAUGUAAAGCCCUAUCGGCAGGGAAGAAAUUGGACGGUACCUGACUAAGAAGCCCCGGCUAACUACGUGCCAGCAGCCGCGGUAAUACGGAGGGGGCAAGCGUUAUCCGGAUUCACUGGGUGUAAAGGGAGCGUAGACGGGCAGGAAAGCCUGGAGUGAAAGCCCGGGGCCCAACCCCGGAACUGCACUGGAAACUGGCCGGCUGGAGUGCGGGAGGGGCAGGCGGAAUUCCUGGUGUAGCGGUGAAAUGCGUAGAUAUCAGGAGGAACACCGGCGGCGAAGGC